UAGUGUUAGAUUUGUGUAAAAAAAACAUAUCAAUAUUUGUUUGGUUGAAAAAAAUAAAAUUAUAUUUAUUCGUAUUGGUGGGAACAAAAAUGAAAAAGAGAUUAUAAGAAUUUAAAUAAGAGUUUUAGAAAAGGCACACAUCCUAACCAAAAACUUAUAAGAAGGAAAUAAAAUCAGAAGAAAGAGAUGAAGAAAAACUAUAAGAAUUUUAUAGUUCUAAUAAGUAGAAAAAAUUAAUAAAAGUUUUGAAAAGAUUUUGUAAUAUCUUAUAGAAUAUGAUAUCAUAGAAAUAUGUAGGAAUAAAGAAAGAGUUGUAAGAAUGAGAGUUAUGAUUCAUAGACAUAAUAAAUGUUUAGAAGAGAGAGUUAUUUGGAAAGAUUUUAUAGAUUAUACAUGAUAGAGAGAUAGAGAGAUAAAAGGGAGAGAAAGAGAAAAUGGAAAAAGAGAGAAAAAGGAGAGAGAUUUUAUAGAAUAUUAUGAGAUGUUACAAAAUAUAAUAGAAAAAAGUAAGGGAGAUUUUAUAUAUUAUCAUGGGAUAUUAUAAGAUAUGAUAGAGAGAGAAGGAGAGAGAGAUCUAUAUCUCGAUAUAAUAGUGAGAGACUGAGAGGGGAGGGGACAGAG
rnacentral:lncRNA from 1 species